AUUCAGAUACCGGCUAGUAAUGCAGAUUGGCCCUUUACCGGUUAGUAAUGCGGAUACCGGUUAGUAAUGCGGAUUGGCCCUUUACCGGUUAGUAAUGCGGAUUGGCCCUUUACCGGUUAGUAAUGCGGAUUCUGGAAUCA